rnacentral:tRNA from 1 species
GCCUUCGUAGUGUAGUAGUCAGCACUUUCGACGCGUAGUCGAGAGGUCCGUGGUUCGAUUCCCGACUAAGGUA